rnacentral:rRNA from 1 species
UCCGCAGGCGGGCAAUUAAGUCAGGGGUGAAAUGCUGUGGCUCAACCAUAGCACUGCCCUUGAUACUGGUUGUCUUGAGUCAAGGUGAAGUGGCCGGAAUAUGUAGUGUAGCGGUGAAAUGCAUAGAUAUUACAUAGAACACCAAUCGCGAAGGCAGGUCACUAACCUUCGACUGACGCUGAUGGACGAAAGCGUGGGGAGCAAACAGGAUUAGAUACCCUGGUAGUCC